UGGUAAUUGAUAGGUGUGAUUUGAUGAUGCACAUGAAUUUAUCACAGGGCCGGAUUUGACCAUACUGUGAUAUUGAUAUAUUCAUGUGCAUCAUCAAAUCACACCUGUCAAUUACCA